UUCUGGUGGUGCAGCGCCACGACGCUGCCCUUGGGGUAGAUUGCGUUCAGUUGGGGGCAGGUCCGAAUCUCCUUGGCUGGACCAGAUAACCGGAGGCGUGGUUUUGUUGGCAUUUUGAAUGGAUUUGAUUGUGUGGAAUAUGUAUUUCGGUGUGCUGUUGGGUAUUGUCGUGAAGGGCCGAUCCGUCGUUAAUAGAAAUUCCCGAGUGCUUGUGCCAUGAAUCGCGGAGUGUUGGACGCCGCGGAUGAUAGUUGUGGGAGAAUCGGCUUUUCUUCGUGAAUCACUCUGGCAUCUGAGUGUUUUUUCUGUCGUCGUGGUGGGUUUAAGGGUAGGGCGAGACAGACAGUGCUUGUGAAUAGUAAGCUUUAGACGAGAACAAGGUUGAAGGAGGUUCUGGAAUAGUUGUGUGUGGUUUCCGGCAUUGCGCAUUCCCUUGAGUUUUAACUCGCUUCCUGUCGUCGUAAGAGAGCGUGGGUUGGAAUCUUAGUCCUAAGGAGAAUGGAAUUGGAAUGAGGCUUUUUGCGGCACGUGCAGUGAGGUGAAACGCCCGGCACUUUGAAGCGUACGGGGAUAGGUACUGAGGUACCAUUCCAUGGAAUCUCCGGCACAGUGCGCGUUCUUCGUCAAGUUUGAUCAACGUUCUGCGGAGAAGCGGAGGUUCAUGUGCUCAGGUCCCACUUUGGACAAGUAAACGUGGUUUAAGCUUUGCGGCUGUGCCACAGCUGCUUGAAGUGUUCUGGAGCUGGCUUUCGGAAGCAACGUCUGCCGGUGACUCAGGGUACUGCAAUAUAUUUCUUGGUUGAAGUACGAACACAGGGUUGAGUAAAAGUCUACGUUGCUAUGGUGUGCUGUGAAAGCCCCAAAUCCUUGGACCUUUGGUGGUCGAUGUGGUUCUUCAUGCAUUUCAAUCGCGACGCCAACUUCUCUGGUUUUGACCUCGAAGACAUGUGCUAGUAAACUAGUUCGAAGUUACACAGUGGUCGCUUAGAAGCGACGUGCACGCAUGUUCUUCAGACGCACCACCUUCCAGUAUCCGUAAUAUCCGUAAUAUUUCGGAUAUUACAUAAUAGGUAGUCUGCGCGGAUUACGACGCCCUGCAGAAUUUUUGGAUUAUUGUUGUUUACGACCGCGUUGGAGAUGGCCGCGCCACUUUCACAACCCGUUUCAUCUGCUUACAUAAAUAGUGGCUUCGGAGCCACGCCUGAAUGGUUGAAUAAGGAAGAUAACGCAUGGCAAUUGGCAGCCGCCACUUUGGUAGGAAUUCAGAGCAUGCCCGGCUUAGUCAUCCUUUAUGGCAGCAUUGUGAAAAAAAAGUGGGCGGUGAACUCAGCAUUCAUGGCAUUGUAUGCUUUCGCAGCAACGGCGAUUUGCUGAGUGCAAGAUGUCCUUCGGAGAACAGCUGCUUCCAAUCUGGGGUAAGGCGGGCCCUGCCUUGGGAUACACAUUUUUGCUAUCACAGGCGGGCAUGCCAUCCACCGAGCACCUCCACGGAGACGGUACAAUUCAGACGCAAGCUCGAACUGCACGUUAUGGAAUGGCCGAUAUGGUCUUGUUCCAGUUCUUCUACGCUGCUCUCACGAUUAUCAUGUUGGCUGGUUCCGUCUUGGGGCGCAUGAAUUUCCGAGCAUGGAUGUUGUUCGUGCCGCUUUGACUCACAUUCUCGUACACAGUUGGAGCUUUUACCAUGUGGGGAGGCGGAUUUCUGUGGCAAUGGGGAGUCAUUGACUACGCCGGGGGCUAUGUCAUUCAUGUUUCCUCCGGUGUCGCUGGCUUCGUUACAGCCUACUGGGUGGGACCGAGACUACCCAAGGAUCGUGAGAGAUUCCCUCCCAACAACAUGCUGCUUAUGCUUACAGGUGCAGGGCUGUUAUGGCUGGGGUGGUCAGGUUUCAGCGGAGGGGCGGCUUUCAGCGCUCACAUAGUCUCCGGUUUAGCUGUUGUUAAUACCCACGUAUGUGCCUCCAUGAGCAUGUUGACGUGGACUGCCAUGGAUGUGUCUUUCUUUGGAAAACCUUCUGUCAUUGGUGCAGUUCAAGGCGUGAUGACUGGCCUCGUUGUCGUCACUCCUGCUGCAGGUUUGGUGCCGGGAUGGUCUGCUUUGAUCAUGGGGCUUUUAGCAGGAAGCAUCCCCUGGUGGACUAUGAUGGUACUCCACAAGAGAUGGUGGUUGCUUCAAAAAGCAGACGAUACGUUGGGUGUAAUUCAUACGCACGGUGUUGGAGGGAUAUUGGGCGGCAUCUGCGUUGGCCUGUUCGCCGAUCCCACGCUGUGCAAAUACAUGCAUGUGGCCAGAGAGCACACCAACGGGGCAUUCUAUGGGGGUAAUGGAGGCCUCCAGGUUCUGAAGCAGCUCGUUGGCGCUCUUUUCAUCAUAGUAUGGAACUUAAUCUUCGCCUUGGUUAUCCUCUUCGCCAUCGGGCUCAUCACACCGCUCCGCUUGUCAGAGGAGCACUUGUUAGUCGGUGACGACGCGGAGCAUGGUGAGGAGGCAUAUGCGCUUUGGGGAGAUGGUGAGAAAAUAGAUGGCGUGAAACACCCCGCCCCACCAUUGCUGCAGAGUUUGAGGAGCGAUGCGCUGCGACAUAUGCCGAUCGCUCAGCAACUUUGCACAUCUGAGCAAAUUCAAUUGCUCCAUUCUCUAGCGGAGACAUGCCUUUACAUCAUCCUUUGUUAAGAUUGCGACAAGUCAGGAUGUAUACAGUCACUUCUGAAGACGUUCGUUUUUGUCCGCCUGUGACGGACAAUUCAUGUCCACCAGAUCAGCUAUGGACAUAUUGUUUCGAUCCGUGUAGUGGAUUUCAAAAUAUGCUUUUGUUCCGCUUUUCGAUCCAUUCACCUACAGAUCCAUGGAACUGCCUCACGCAUGGCAGCUCGUAGUAUACUCCAAAGAUAUGCUACCAAAAACAAGAAAGAGUCUUUUCACUCGAUUGAAAGUGUGCAUGCUCGAGUGGAGUAGAUUAAAUCGUCUGCGAGAAAAGAAUCGGUGUCCACAGAAGUACACUUACUGUCUCGCAUGUUUCACUGAGCAGCUUGCCAUACAUCACGGUGUCAUGUCCUGUGCCAUCAAUAUUGGCUUCUGAGCUAGCAACCUGUCCGACCAGAAUGGUGGAUGAGAUUAGUUGUUUAGACUAGAUUAGAACUGCAUAAACCUCAGAUCUGUGCUGAAAAUCAACGUGCAUUUUUGCACGUCUCUCAGAAUGUUUUUUUCUUUUUCUUUUUCUUUUCACAAGGUUGUUUUUUAAAGCUGAAAUUUGUGACUGAUUUUCACAGCAUGAACAUUGAACUCUGAUCUGCUUGCUUGCAGAUCGUUUACUCGUA